UCCAGAUGGAGAGGAAGGGUUCGGAGAGCAUGAUCCUGCUGCUAAUCAACUGGAGCUGGAGCAGGAGGAAUCCCUGAAGCUGAUGUUAACAGCGGAUGGCGAUGUGGAGGAAAGCAAUCGCCACAGCGCCAAACGUGCUAGAAAGAAUUUCUGAUUAGAAGUGUAGUUCGUUGUUAGUACAGUCAGAUUAGGAAAAGAUGCCUUUGCCUUGUUGCUGACAUGUGUACUCAGUAAUUAGUUUGAGUGUGUUGAGUAGAUCUCUAGGUUUGUAAGUGGUUCAUCGGUGGAGUAGUGAACUCUGUACUGUAAUGCAGGGGAGUGCCUGCUGUUGUCAACAAGUAUAAAUCAACGUGUCUAAGCGAGGCUUAUUUGUGUGACAUGCAUCUCCAUUACCAAUAACGGCUCCUUUGGUCCAGGUCCCGUCUGGUCUGCCACCGCAUUAACUGACGGCGCUUUCUGAGCAGUGGGCCAUCUAACUGUUUGGGCAAAUAGUCCCGUGAGCAUACACCUGACGCUAUACUCAUUGCAACACUGAUCGCGAGAGAAACAAGUGGCACAGAUUCCGAGCUCACAGGCGCUCAAGCUCACAUGCGUAUUUUCGCAAUUAGGAUGUAUACCUGAAGGAGUGAAUCUACUAGUUCAGCUGAAAAUUGAUCUCUAUUUGGUUUCUGUUUUUGUGUUUGGUUUUGCCGGCCGCUCGUCCUUCGUAUGCUCAUCCAUCUUGGCUGCUCUGCUUGCCUGCUUCUCCUCUCUAACUCAGGAGGGAGCAGCAGGCAUAGAAGAAAUCCCAAGCCAAUUUCGCUCAGCUGUAGCAUCUUUCACUGACAAUAAGUCUGCACAACAGCUUGGUGAGGUUUGUUCUCUACAAAGAUUUAAAAACAUAAGUCUUUCAGUUGCUCUCUACUCGCUGGUAAAAAAGCAAAGUGAAUUCCCUUUAUAAAUACCCAGCUGAAGAAUACCUUAGUUAAAUCAAUCAAUAGUGAGUUGUAUUACUAGAGAGUAGAGACGUAAGAAAACGCCCUUAGGUGUGACACUCUACGUGGUUACCUUCUUAGUCCCAGCUAUUGACAUCAUACUAAGAUCACACACUGCCAAGCGGAAUGUUUGUUUCUAUGUACUUCUGGAUGCUAAUUUACCGUUCUUGAUUUUCAUGGGGAUAUUCCUUCAUUAUUUGGUUACCUGUCAAUGCUCGAUCCUAUUUCCCACCUUGUGCUUUGACUUCUUGCAUUUUUUCGUCUAAGUUAUUAGGCUACUGCUGCCUGGUUUGCGCAUGAUGAACCAUUGGUUAUGAUGCACUCGUGGCUGGUCUGCCUUUUUUAUGCUUUUUUAGUGACAACAUUCAGACUUAAUGUUUAUUACUUCAUUUCAGAGUUUUAAAUUAAGACAUCGUGGUCAAUUUAUAUGGUUUUAUGAAGUUUCACCUUCCCUUUGUCAUAUUGGUUUGAUCAAAUCAAUGGGAAGCCGGCAUUACUUUGAUGCUGAUGUUCUUGCUCAGUAUAAGCCAACAAUGGAGAAACUGACCAAGCUAUCUUUCAUGAUCAGUUA